rnacentral:rRNA from 1 species
UUCCGGUUGAUCCUGCCGGACCUGAUUGAAAAUGGGAUUGAUACUAAGCCAUGCGAGUCAUUGUAGUAAUACAAGGCAGACGGCUCACUAACGCGUAGUCAACCUACCCUAAGGAUGGGGAUAACCUCGGGAAACUGAGAAUAAUACCCGAUAGAACAUGGCUCCUGGAAUGGUUCAUGUUUCAAAUAAUUUAUUGCCUUAGGAUGGGACUGCGGCCUAUCAGUUUGUUGGUGAGGUAAUGGCCCACCAAGACUAUUACAGGUACGGGCUCUGAGAGGAGUGGCCCGGAGAUGGGUACUGAGACACGGACCCAGGCCCUAUGGGGCGCAGCAGGCGAGAAAACUUUGCAAUGUGCGAAAGCACGACAAGGUUAAUCCGAGUGGUUUCUGCUAAAGGAACCUUUUGUCAUUCCUAGAAACACUGAUGAAUAAGGGGUGGGCAAGUUCUGGUGUCAGCCGCCGCGGUAAAACCAGCACCUCAAGUGGUCAGGAUGAUUAUUGGGCCUAAAGCAUCCGUAGCCGGCUUUGUAAGUUUUCGGUUAAAUCCAUGCGCUUAACGUAUGGGCUGCCGGGAAUACUGCAAAGCUAGGGAGUGGGAGAGGUAGACGGUACUCGGUAGGAAGGGGUAAAAUCCUUUGAUCUAUUGAUGACCACCUGUGGCGAAGGCGGUCUACCAGAACACGUCCGACGGUGAGGGAUGAAAGCUGGGGGAGCAAACCGGAUUAGAUACCCGGGUAGUCCCAGCUGUAAACUAUGCAAACUCAGUGAUGCAUUGGCUUGAUGCCAAUGCAGUGCUGCAGGGAAGCCGUUAAGUUUGCCGCCUGGGAAGUACGUACGCAAGUAUGAAACUUGAAGGAAUUGGCGGGGGAGCACCACAAGGGGUGAAGCCUGCGGUUCAAUUGGAGUCAACGCGGGA